CGUUUCCAAGAAGCAAAGAUUCUUGGUUCUUUGUUGCUUUAAGAAAAUUUAGGCCAGGUUUUCCUUAGACAAGGAAAUUGAAAUUAAAACAGUAGCUCUUUUUAGUUUUUCUGGCAAUAGAGAUCAAAUUUGGGAGCAGUGGGUGAUAACACUGAGGAAUGUUAUCUGAGAUGACAAAUUCCUGAAGCUUUUUGCAAUCUUUGCAUUUGCAACAUGCGGUGGCUAUUCCGGAGGCCUGCGGCUGAGUGUGGACUGCGUCAACAAGACAGAAAGUAACCUCAGCAUCGACAUAGCGUUUGCCUACCCAUUCAGGUUGCACCAGGUGACGUUUGAGGUGCCCACCUGCGAGGGAAAGGAACGGCAGAAGCUGGCAUUGAUUGGUGACUCCUCGUCUUCAGCAGAGUUCUUCGUCACUGUUGCUGUCUUCGCCUUCCUCUACUCUUUGGCUGCCACUGUCGUUUACAUUUUCUUCCAGAACAAAUACCGGGAAAACAACCGGGGCCCACUCAUUGACUUCAUUGUCACUGUAGUCUUUUCGUUCUUGUGGUUGGUGGGUUCAUCAGCUUGGGCAAAAGGACUGUCUGACGUCAAAGUUGCAACAGAUCCCAAGGAAGUAUUGCUACUAAUGUCAGCUUGCAAACAGCCAUCCAACAAAUGCAUGGCUAUCCACAGCCCUGUUAUGUCAAGCUUAAACACUUCUGUG
rnacentral:sRNA from 1 species